rnacentral:rRNA from 1 species
AGAACGAACGCUGGCGGCAGGCUUAACACAUGCAAGUCGAGCGCUGUAGCAAUACAGAGCGGCAGACGGGUGAGUAACGCGUGGGAACAUACCCCAAGGUUCGGAAUAACUCAGGGAAACUUGAGCUAAUACCGGAUAUCUCCGAGAGGAGAAAGAUUUAUCGCCAUGGGAUUGGCCCGCGUUCGAUUAGCUAGUUGGUGUGGUAAUGGCGCACCAAGGCGACGAUCGAUAGCUGGUCUGAGAGGAUGAUCAGCCACAUUGGGACUGAGACACGGCCCAAACUCCUACGGGGGGCAGCAGUGAGGAAUUUUCGUCAAUGGGGGCAACCCUGAACGAGCAACGCCGCGUGCAGGAAGAAGGUUUUCGGAUCGUAAACUGCUUUUCUCGGGGAAGAGAACGGACGGUACCCGAGGAACUCGAGCCCCGGCUAACUACGCGCCAGCAGCCGC